rnacentral:rRNA from 1 species
ACACGGUCCAGACUCCUACGGGAGGCAGCAGUGGGGAAUAUUGGACAAUGGGCGAAAGCCUGAUCCAGCCAUGCCGCGUGUGUGAAGAAGGUCUUCGGAUUGUAAAGCACUUUAAGUUGGGAGGAAGGGCAUUAACCUAAUACGUUGGUGUCUUGACGUUACCGACAGAAUAAGCACCGGCUAACUCUGUGCCAGCAGCCGCGGUAAUACAGAGGGUGCAAGCGUUAAUCGGAAUUACUGGGCGUAAAGCGCGCGUAGGUGGUUUGUUAAGUUGGAUGUGAAAUCCCCGGGCUCAACCUGGGAACUGCAUUCAAAACUGACAAGCUAGAGUAUGGUAGAGGGUGGUGGAAUUUCCUGUGUAGCGGUGAAAUGCGUAGAUAUAGGAAGGAACACCAGUGGCGAAGGCGACCACCUGGACUGAUACUGACACUGANGUGCGAAAGCGUGGGGAGCAAACAGGAUUAGAUACCCUGGUAGUCCACGCC